CCUACGGGGGGCAGCAGUGGGGAAUAUUGCACAAUGGGCGCAAGCCUGAUGCAGCCAUGCCGCGUGUAUGAAGAAGGCCUUCGGGUUGUAAAGUACUUUCAGCGAGGAGGAAGGCAUUAAGGUUAAUAACCUUGGUGAUUGACGUUACUCGCAGAAGAAGCACCGGCUAACUCCGUGCCAGCAGCCGCGGUAAUACGGAGGGUGCAAGCGUUAAUCGGAAUUACUGGGCGUAAAGCGCACGCAGGCGGUCUGUCAAGUCGGAUGUGAAAUCCCCGGGCUC
rnacentral:rRNA from 1 species